GCCGCCAUAGCUCAGUGGUAGAGCGCACCCUUGGUAAGGGUGAGGUCCUGUGUUCAAUCCACAGUGGCGGCACCA
rnacentral:tRNA from 1 species